rnacentral:rRNA from 1 species
UACGUAGGGUGCGAGCGUUGUCCGGAAUUAUUGGGCGUAAAGAGCUCGUAGGCGGUUUGUUGCGUCUAUCGUGAAAACCUGCAGCUUAACUGUGGGCUUGCGGUGGAUACGGGCAGACUUGAGUUCGGUAGGGGAGACUGGAAUUCCUGGUGUAGCGGUGAAAUGCGCAGAUAUCAGGAAGAACACCAAUGGCGAAGGCAGCUCUCUGGGACGGUACUGACGCUGAGACGCGAAAGCGUGGGGAGCGAACAGG